rnacentral:rRNA from 1 species
AGUGAACGCUGGCGGUAGGCCUAACACAUGCAAGUCGAACGGCAGCACAGUAAGAGCUUGCUCUUACGGGUGGCGAGUGGCGGACGGGUGAGGAAUACAUCGGAAUCUACUUUUUCGUGGGGGAUAACGUAGGGAAACUUACGCUAAUACCGCAUACGACCUACGGGUGAAAGCAGGGGAUCUUCGGACCUUGCGCGAUUGAAUGAGCCGAUGUCGGAUUAGCUAGUUGGCGGGGUAAAGGCCCACCAAGGCGACGAUCCGUAGCUGGUCUGAGAGGAUGAGCAGCCACACUGGAACUGAGACACGGUCCAGACUCCUACGGGAGGCAGCAGUGGGGAAUAUUGGACAAUGCGCGCAAGCCUGAUCCAGCCAUACCGCGUGGGUGAAGAAGGCCUUCGGGUUGUAAAGCCCUUUUGUUGGGAAAGAAAAGCAGCAGGUUAAUACCCCGCUGUUCUGACGGUACCCAAAGAAUAAGCACCGGCUAACUUCGUG